rnacentral:rRNA from 1 species
CCUACGGGUGGCAGCAGUGAGGAAUCUUGGUCAAUGGACGAGAGUCUGAACCAGCCACGUCGCGUGAGGGAUGAAUGCCCUCUGGGUUGUAAACUUCUUUUAUAUGGGAGUAAAAGGUUGUACGUGUGGGAUUUUGUCUGUACCAUAUGAAUAAGGAUCGGCUAACUCCGUGCCAGCAGCCGAGGUACUACGGAGGGUCCGAGCGUUAUCCGGAUUUAUUGGGUUUAAAGGGAGCCUAGGUGGUUUGUUAAGUCAGUUGUGAAAGUUUGCGGCUCAACCGGAAAAUUGCAGUGGAAACUGGCAGACUUGAGUACAGAAGAGGAGAGCGGAAUUCGUUGUGUAGCGGUGAAAUGCGUAGAUAUAAGGAAGAACUCCGAUUGCGAAGGCAGUUCACUGGACUGCAACUGACGCUGAGGCUCGAAAGUGUGGGGAGCAAACAGGAUUAGAUACCCCAGUAGUC